rnacentral:rRNA from 1 species
GACGAACGCUGGCGGCGUGCCUAAUACAUGCAAGUAGAACGCUGAAGAGAGGAGCUUACUCUUCUUGGAUGAGUUGCGAACGGGUGAGUAACGCGUAGGUAACCUGCCUUGUAGCGGGGGAUAACUAUUGGAAACGAUAGCUAAUACCGCAUAACAAUGGAUGACACAUGUCAUUUAUUUGAAAGGGGCAAUUGCUCCACUACAAGAUGGACCUGCGUUGUAUUAGCUAGUAGGUGAGGUAAUGGCUCACCUAGGCGACGAUACAUAGCCGACCUGAAAGGGUGAUCGGCCACACUGGGACCGGAACACGGCCCAGACUCCUACGGGAGGCAGCAGUAGGGAAUCAUCGGCAAUGGGGGCAACCCUGACCGAGCAACGCCGCGUGAGUGAAGAAGGGUUUCGGAUCGUAAAGCUCUGUUGUAAGUCAAGAACGGGUGUGAGAGUGGAAAGUUCACACUGUGACGGUAGCUUACCAGAAAGGGACGGCUAACUACGUG